rnacentral:rRNA from 1 species
AUACGUAGGGAGCAAGCGUUAUCCGGAUUUAUUGGGUGUAAAGGGUGCGUAGGCGGGAAGGCAAGUUGAAUGUGAAAUACCGUGGCUCAACCACGGGGCUGCGUUCAAAACUGUUUUUCUUGAGUACAGCAGAGGCAAGCGGAAUUCCCAGUGUAGCGGUAAUAUGCGUAGAUAUUGGGAGGAACACCGGUGGCGAAGGCGGCUUGCUGGGCUGCAACUGACGCUGAAGCACGAAAGUGUGGGGAGCAAACAGGAUUAGAUACCCUGGUAGUCCACACUGUAAACGAUGAUUACUAGGUGUGGGGAGAUUGACCCUCUCCGUGCCGCAGUUAACACAAUAAGUAAUCCACCUGAGUAGUACGGCCGCAAGGUUGAA